rnacentral:lncRNA from 1 species
AGUCAGGAGAGACUGGAGGAAGACCAGUGAGAGAGCGGUGACCGGUGACAAUAAUCCAGCCUGGGAGGGACGGAACUGAACAAGGACAGGCUGGAAGGCAGCCCAUGAACGUGGAGACAGCAGACCUGAUUCUGGAGGCAUUUAAGAUGUGGGGGAGAAGGACUCAGCGCCUGCUCAGUGUCACAGGGCAACCAGCAACUGUAUCUACACAUCUUUAUAAUUCAAGUGUUCUAGCCCACAUCCACAUGAGCUCACUGCUUCUGUUGUGGAAACCGCAUUGAAAGGGCAGUGGCCCUGGUGUUAGAAGAUUCCAGUCUGUGUCCUGGUGCUGCCCCGACCCUGGGUAAGUCCAUGAACCUUUCUUUUUGAGUCUUAGACUUUCCAUCUCAA